UGGGGAAUAUUGGACAAUGGGGGCAACCCUGAUCCAGCCAUGCCGCGUGAGUGAAGAAGGCCUUAGGGUUGUAAAGCUCUUUCAGUCGUGACGAUGAUGACGGUAGCGACAGAAGAAGCCCCGGCUAACUCCGUGCCAGCAGCCGCGGUAAUACGGAGGGGGCAAGCGUUGUUCGGAUUUACUGGGCGUAAAGGGCGCGUAGGCGGGGUAUCCAGUUAGGGGUGAAAGCCCGGGGCUCAACCUCGGAACUGCCUUUAAAACUACCAGUCUAGAGAUCGAGAGAGGUAAGUGGAAUUCCUAGUGUAGAGGUGAAAUUCGUAGAUAUUAGGAAGAACACCAGUGGCGAAGGCGGCUUACUGGCUCGAUACUGACGCUGAGGCGCGAAAGCGUGGGGAGCAAACAGGAUUAGAUACCCCCGUAGUCC
rnacentral:rRNA from 1 species